GACGAACGCUGGCGGCGUGCUUAACACAUGCAAGUCGAACGAAGAGCGAUGGAAGCUUGCUUCUAUCAAUCUUAGUGGCGAACGGGUGAGUAACGCGUAAUCAACCUGCCCUUCAGAGGGGGACAACAGUUGGAAACGACUGCUAAUACCGCAUACGAUCUAAUCUCGGCAUCGAGGAUAGAUGAAAGGUGGCCUCUACAUGUAAGCUAUCACUGAAGGAGGGGAUUGCGUCUGAUUAGCUAGUUGGAGGGGUAACGGCCCACCAAGGCGAUGAUCAGUAGCCGGUCGGAGAGGAUGAACGGCCACACUGGGAGUGAGACACGGCCCAGACGCCUACGGGAGGGAGCAGUGGGGAAUCGUCCGCAAGGGACGAAAGUCUGACGGAGCAACGCCGCGUGAGGGAUGGCGGCCUUCGGGUUGGAAAGCUCGGUUAAUCGGGACGAAAGGCCUUCUUGCGAAUAGUGAGAAGGAUUGACGGUACCGGAAUAGAAAGCCACGGCUAACUACGUG
rnacentral:rRNA from 1 species